CGGAAACACGGAAGAAGCAGAACAAUAACAUUUUUGACGAUGUCACACAUCCUUAAACAGAAACGCCUUCAAUCCAGGGAAACCAAGGAGCGGAGCUUUUCUAUUUCCCGGAACUUAGCUGCCUCGAAAGUGACAAAAAGAUAAUACCUAACUGGUUAGAAAUAUGAAUUACUAUCUGUGUCAGUUUAAAGAAACCCUAAAUAAUAGGAAAUGAAGUCGAAUGACUUGGAAGUUUAAGCUUGUUUGCAAUGCAAUAUAUUUUCCGACUCUUUUAAACUCUAAAAAACUUUAAGUAAAAGUGUUCUCUAUUGACACUUAAAUAGCAGCCACAAUAACAUAAAUCUUAAACCGACUUUUUGCCUAACCAAAAUAAUGUUAAAGUUAAGAUUUACCGCAUUUCCAUAUUUCAUAUUUCAUCUUUUUACCGUAGUUAGU